rnacentral:rRNA from 1 species
AGAGUUUGAUCCUGGCUCAGAUUGAACGCUGGCGGCAUGCCUUACACAUGCAAGUCGAACGGUAACAGGUUAAGCUGACGAGUGGCGAACGGGUGAGUAAUAUAUCGGAACGUGCCCAGUAGUGGGGGAUAGCCCGGCGAAAGCCGGAUUAAUACCGCAUACGACCUACGGGUGAAAGGGGGGGAUCGCAAGACCUCUCGCUAUUGGAGCGGCCGAUAUCAGAUUAGCUAGUUGGUGGGGUAAAAGCUCACCAAGGCGACGAUCUGUAGCUGGUCUGAGAGGACGACCAGCCACACUGGGACUGAGACACGGCCCAGACUCCUACGGGAGGCAGCAGUGGGGAAUUUUGGACAAUGGACGCAAGUCUGAUCCAGCCAUGCCGCGUGCGGGAAGAAGGCCUUCGGGUUGUAAACCGCUUUUGUCAGGGAAGAAAAGUUUGGGGCUAAUAACCUCGGAUGAUGACGGUACCUGAAGAAUAAGCACCGGCUAACUACGUGCCAGCAGCCGCGGUAAUACGUAGGGUGCAAGCGUUAAUCGGAAUUACUGGGCGUAAAGCGUGCGCAGGCGGUUCUAUAAGACAGAUGUGAAAUCCCCGGGCUCAACCUGGGAACUGCAUUUGUGACUGUAGAGCUGGAGUACGGCAGAGGGGGAUGGAAUUCCGCGUGUAGCAGUGAAAUGCGUAGAUAUGCGGAGGAACACCGAUGGCGAAGGCAAUCCCCUGGGCCUGUACUGACGCUCAUGCACGAAAGCGUGGGGAGCAAACAGGAUUAGAUACCCUCGUAGUCC